GCCCUGAUAGUAUAAAUAUUACUUUGGUCUUGUAAACCAAAAAUGAGGAGCCAUCCUCUCAGGACA
rnacentral:tRNA from 1 species